rnacentral:rRNA from 1 species
UGAGGAAUAUUGGUCAAUGGGCGGGAGCCUGAACCAGCCAAGCCGCGUGAGGGAGGAAGGCCCUAUGGGUCGUAAACCUCUUUUGUCAGGGAACAAAAGCGAGUAUGUAUACUAGUCUGAGUGUACCUGAAGAAAAACGCAUCGGCUAACUCCGUGCCAGCAGCCGCGGUAAUACGGAGGAUGCGAGCGUUAUCCGGAUUUAUUGGGUUUAAAGGGUGCGUAGGCGGCGGUGCAAGUCAGCGGUAAAAGCCCGGGGCUCAACCCCGGCGAGCCGUUGAAACUGCAGUGCUAGAGAAGGCGAGAGGUACGCGGAAUGCGCAGUGUAGCGGUGAAAUGCUUAGAUAUUGCGCAGAACUCCGAUUGCGAAGGCAGCGUACUGGCGCCUGACUGACGCUGAGGCACGAAAGCGUGGGGAUCAAACAGGAUUAGAUACC